CCUACGGGUGGCAGCAGUGGGGAAUAUUGGACAAUGGGGGCAACCCUGAUCCAGCCAUGCCGCGUGUGUGAAGAAGGCCCUCGGGUUGUAAAGCACUUUCAGUGAGGAAGAACGCCUGGUGGUUAAUACCCAUCAGGAAAGACAUCACUCACAGAAGAAGCACCGGCUAACUCCGUGCCAGCAGCCGCGGUAAUACGGAGGGUGCGAGCGUUAAUCGGAAUUACUGGGCGUAAAGCGCGCGUAGGUGGCUUGAUAAGCCGGUUGUGAAAGCCCCGGGCUCAACCUGGGAACGGCAUCCGGAACUGUCAAGCUAGAGUGCAGGAGAGGAAGGUAGAAUUCCCGGUGUAGCGGUGAAAUGCGUAGAGCUCGGGAGGAAUACCAGUGGCGAAGGCGGCCUUCUGGACUGACACUGACACUGAGGUGCGAAAGCGUGGGUAGCAAACAGGAUUAGAUACCCCAGUAGUC
rnacentral:rRNA from 1 species